UCUAUGGUAGUCUAAAAAAGAUAUAAAAUUUAGAAUUUUAAGAUGUAUCAGCCUAUAGAA
rnacentral:tRNA from 1 species